CCCGCCCCGCCCCCGGCCGCCCCGGCACCGCCUUUUUCCGGUGCCCGUUCCCGGCCGCGUCCGGCUGCCUGUGCCGGUGGGGCGUUAGUUCCGGGCCCAGGUUGGGCUGACGGUAGGUCGGGAGAGGCCGCGGUGUCCCCGCCAUUGCGCAGAUUGCCGGGCACCUGGUGAGGCCGAGGCGACGCCGAGCGCAGGCAAGCCGGAAACCGCGCAGCCCUGCUGGACCUGGCUGAUUGCGGGCGGCACCGGUGGGUUCGCGACCUUGAACAGGUGACUCCAAUCGCUCCAGGACAGCGCGCCCUUCGCCGAACUGCCAGAUAAGCCGAGCUUGAGGCUGUCGUAGCCCCACUGGGCAGUCCUGAAAGUCGCAGGGGCGCCUUUGCCUCUCAGAAAGUAGGAUGGGGAAAAAAACCCACCGUUUCCUCACAGACAGAGGACUCAGCCUGUAAGAGCAAAAUGCCCCAAAUCAGCAUCGCCAUAAAAACGGAGUAGAGAAAGAACAGAAGAUGCUGCACAUGAGGAGAGGAAGGUUAUGCCUUCACCCUUGGUGACACACAAAAAAAGUGGCCAUAAGAAAAAAUGUGAA